ACACCGUGAUCGCAUAGGUCGGAUGACAGAUAGGCUUCAGCCUUCCGCGAGCAAUUUGUUUAAAAAGGGCUUCUGCUGUGUUUGGCACGGGGGAGGAGUGGGUGAUCGCUCCUUCCCUGCGGAAUCGCUAUCAAGAGAUUUCGGAAGCAUAAUUUUUGUGGCAAGGAGCUGCUGAUGAUCGUUUAUCUCGGCGCUCCAUCUUAUUCGUGGAAAAAAAAGACAUGGUAGUGCUAAGCGGAUUAGCCCUGGGGUUCGGAUUGCUGGACAUGGUGAAAAAGACCCAGCAGCUCCAGUAAACAGCCUCGAGGCAGGAGGCUCACACUGCUAGAAUCUGGCUGGCCUUCACAUGCCACUGUGUGCUAAGUCUUCCUUAGCAGUUUGUACUAUAUUCUGUUUGAUGCACCUUGACCUCUGACAGACCUGGCAGAGCAACUGGAAGAGCAGAAGAAGCAGGCACCUGAUUGGCUGGCUUAUUCCCAGAUGCCUGAUUCACUGGCUUGCUCCCAGGUUCCAGAUUGGCUGGCUCGCUCCCAGACACGGCAGAAUGUUGCACUGGCAUCGCUGGCCACUGUUUCUGAGCCGCCUGGCAAGCACACAUCUUCAGCCUGUGUGCACAGCACAGUGCCCCCCCCCCUCGCUGUCCUGUUUCCUGUGGUGCCUCUGGGCCAGCUAGCCAGCACCCUCACGCUGCAGCACGCUGGCCUCCGGCUGCUCCAUUUCAGUACAGUAUCUGGCUACAGACAGUGAGGGGGUGGGCAUGCAGAAGGGGUGAAGCUGGAAGCAGAGGAGUAUGGUGCUGGUGCAAGAGCCGGGCAUUGAGGAGGGGCAGGAUGAGGGCCCGUACAUACUGUGGUUAUCAAGAUCGACCCAGCUCCAGGGAAUAACACAGUGGGAGCAGUAGAACUCUGACUGGGAGGGCAACUGGCUGGCAGACAUGUGGGUUCUGUACUAGUGCAGAGUUAGAUGGAGGUAGUCGGCACAGUCGAGGACGCAUCUGGGCUGCUAGUGCAUGGGGAGAUGAUGCAAGUAGAAGACGUGGAUGGGGGAGUCCUCCAUGAGGUCUGGAAGAAGUGUGGAAGCAGCAGUGGGGUGACUCCACCAUGUGUAGCUCAUGGUCGUUUAGGAGGAGCAGCACGGCCAGCGAGAGCUGGACAGAUGCAUAGCACUGAAGACGUCAUCAACUGGGUGAGAUCUGCAAAGAGGAUAAUCCAAAUUCAGUAUUUUUAUGACAUAAACACAAAGCACAAACAGAAAGAACCAUUCUCCCCGUUUGUGAAAUCUUUACAGCUGGGGUGUCUGAUUCGAAACACAGUGGGUGAGUUUAGCUUGCAUGCCUGGUCCAUGUAUGGGUUACCUUCACUUUUUAAACUGUACAAAAAUACUGCCAUUAUUUUUUAAUGUAGUGGCAGUUUCAACUUAUUUAUAUUGUUUGUCAUUUUAAAGAAGUCAAAUAACAAGCAAACUAACAUAUUUUUGUUAGAAUUUAGGGGGCCCAGCAUGAAGUAUAGGUUUGGGGGCUUUUGGUGUAGCAAGGGGGCCGAAGGUUUGACCCAAAGGGGGGGCGAAGGGGAUGUUUUGUCAGCAGCUCAGAAUUUUUUGCUCUGCCCCUGACUGACUGUAUGACAUUGUUCAGGUGGCAGCUGGUGGCAGGUCUGAAAUGGUCAUGAGGAUUCAGGAUUGUCACAUCCUUUAUCCUUGGAGCUGAGAUGAUAAGCACAGACUUGGUGGGAAACUUCUGGGAAGGGGCUUCUUUCUCUACCAAAUGGCAGAUAUUGCCAUGGAUUUCCAUCACAGCCUGAAUAACUGUAAAUCAGGUCCAGUAAAUGGUUUCUGAUUAGAUGAUGCCGACCCCCCUAGAGGGAUGUGUUGGAGUCUGUAAAAAUCUGUUACAAACCAUUAGAGCCCAAAGCAUUGCAAUAAAAAUUACUAAAUGUUAAGGGAAUGUGACUGCAAAUGGUACCACCAGGUGGCAGCGCAGAGCCUUUUUCUCUUAGUGGGCUCUCCGGGUCUCCACAGUCAGAUGAGGGGUCUUGCAACCUGAUUGUUAUGGUUUUGCCUUUGCUGCCGCUGACCUGUGUGGAAGAGCUGAGCCUGAAGGGACAUUAAUGCAGGUUGGUAUCAUGGCCACUCCAGGUCCAAUUAAGAGAGACUAAUGAAAAAAAGGAUAUUAGCUAAUUUAUACAUUCUCAUUCCGGAUGCAUCCAGAAGAAUGAUGUAGUACAACUGUUGAGCACUGGAAAUGAUUCAGAUGUUCAGUGAUGCUGGUCAGAAUAGGUUUUCAAAGGUAAGUUUGAGAAAUGGGAGAUUAGCACUCAUGCCUGUUCCAUCCACCCGUCUGUCCAUCCUUUCAAACACUUAUUCAAUACACUCUCCGAAAAAAAGGAUUGGAUUGUUGCUAUAUUGAAUGGCAGUUUAAGUUUUAACUCUCCAUUGAAUCCUACAUUUUUGCUAAGAUCAGAAUUAAGGAUGUGCUGGUGGCAGCUGUUUGAUGCAUAUGAAGGCCAUACACAGGGCUGUGCAUUUCGGGGAAGCGCAUCUGAGGCAGGUGAGAAGAAUAUAAGAGCAGAUUUUCUUGGGAUAAGUCUUCCUCUUCCUACCGUCUGCUAUCUUUUAUCAUUACAGCCUCCUUCCCAUACCGGGGGCAGGAAACUUCUCCUCAGAUCUGAUGAAAGAUGAGACAGCAAUCACUCUAAUUAUGUGAAAACAGACUGAAGGGAGAUGCAGAAUCUCCACGUAAAUGUACUUCCAACUGCUUGUUAAAAUAUGGGAGAUUCACUGCCAGUAGGAAAAGGAAACGCUUCUCCAUGCAGGAGAUGACAAUCAUAUAGCUGCCUGGAGCAAGAGACAGGGAGCAGAAUGAAUCCAAGGCAGAUGGUGCAUUGAAGUGUGUCAUUUUUGCUCUUGUGCCUUUGCUCUUUCCAUCACACUGAGGUGAGACGGUGCUUUGCCAUCUCUGCUACCAAAGCUCUAGUCUUUUCUAAUCUGCCGUUUAAAACAUGAAUGGGAGACCACACACAGAAAGUCUUUACCCGCAGAGACUACACAUAGAAAUUCUUUAACCACUUUAUUUAUUAACAACUUAAAGAUAACAGACAUCAUUAUAAAUGUGUAAGUGUUAAGAAGCAUAUUGGUCAGGUAAGAGCCAGGAUACAGCCAAAUUAUACAAGCCAAAAACAAAUGGGUUUUUUUGGGAGACCCUGGCGGGGAUGAGUGCUCACCUGAUGGAUGGAUUGUUUUGUGUAGGAAGACGUAUCUGUUUUUACUGUUCGCAGCUUUUAUUUGGCCUAAUCCCUGUUGGAGAUGUCAUGAUUGGGGGGGGGGGGGGGUCUGGAAUGCCUUGCUGGGCUGAAAUGCUCAGUGAUUGGGGAUCAAAUGUGCACUCCAGCUGUGAGGAACACCAUAAAGCUGCCCCUCCCACACACACACUGCCCCAAACAGUCGCCCCCCCCCCUGGAUACACACUCACACAUAAACUGCCCCAAACAGCAUCUGCCCCCCCCCCCCCCCCCCCCCCCACACACACACACACACUUCCCCAAACAGCCCGGAACCCUACACAUGCGCACACACACUCACACAUAAACUGCCCCAAACAGCAUCUGCCCCCCCACACACACACUGUCCCAAACAGCCCGGACCCCCACACAGGCACACACACUCACACAUAAACUGCCCCAAACAGCAUCUGCCCCCCCACACACACACUGUCCCAAACAGCCCGGACCCCCACACAAUCACACACACUCACACAUAAACUGCCCCGAACAGCAUCUGCCCCCCUCCCCACACACACACACACACUCUGUCCCAAACAGCCCGGACCCCCACACAGGCACACACACUCACACAUACACUGCACUAAACAGCAAACGGCCCUCAGCACACGCACACACACACACAACGACUCAAACAGCCCCCCAUCCCCACAGACACGCAAACACACAAACACCAUGUCUGGACUUCUAGCACAUUGCACUGCUUAGGGUCAGUGGAGCUUUAUCUACAAUGUGACCCCGGCUUGUUGGACCCCAUUUACCCUACAGAGUCUUACACACGAUUCCUUCUUAAUCUUUUUUCCCUAUUGCCGUGUUGCCAGAUUCUUUUCUCCUGUCCUGUGAAUAAUGGGACAGGACGUCUCCAGUCAGUGUACAGCUGCCGUCUGUUUUUAUUGGACCCAAAUGCUUAGCCCUUUAAUUUAACCAUUAUUACCCCAGUUUAACAAAUUGCUAAUUUUUUCAGCACGUAAGCAAUUUAAAAGCCAAACCCUUUCUGAGACUCAAAGGUAUUCAGUGUUCCCUUUCCCUCCAAAGUACAAUAUAUUCCAAGCAGAGUGACUGGACUGAAUUAUGGAAGUAUUUAAAGUGGACUCACAAUGGAUUUAUAAUUUUUCUGCUUUCUACAAAAGAGAGAGACCAAGGAGAGGAAGGAUACAACACGCAUUGCUGUUAAUGCUUCAUUUAAACUUCGUAUGAGCACUUAUGAGCCUCACAUAAGUGGCCUGGACACAUUUCUGGGCAAAAUAAAUACAGAAUGAAGAGUUGAAAGAAGCUCUGAACCAACACUUAUUUAUCACUACUCCAGCCCUUAAUGCUGCUGCAGUCAUACCAUAGCAGUCCACCUUGGAAGCCAAGCCUUCUCUGUCCAACUGGAAUCAUUCUCUGUCCAACUGGAAUCAUUUUCUGUCCACUUUGGAAGCCUUGGAAGGUCCAUCUUGGAUGUUGCUGCUGAAUUAAUUGCCAAUGGGAAGAAAAACUGUCAAUGAUUUCAUGUGAUCUGCUGUUUUGUUUCCGGAUGCAGUGGUUCAAUAAUGUAAUGAUUUUUGCUUGGCUAGAAUUCCUCAUUCUUCAACUUUAAAUAUGAGUGUUCUGCCGAGCAUCUUCUGCAUGUGUACUUAUUAUAGAUGUGUGGGUACCGUGAUGUGUGUGUACUAGUCUGUGAAGAGUGUCAGGUUAAGUACUCUCUUCAGGGCUACUGCAGCGUUGUGCUUGAGGGAUACAAACCUGUAACUUACUGUUCACAUUGUCUACUUUAUUAUUAAUGGGCGAUACUAUGAGUAAUGUGUAGGAUGUGACCUCAGCACCUUGCCUAGCUUGUUGUUGGAUUGUAUCCAACUCACCGCAGCACUUUACUGGCUUGUUGUUGGGUUAGUACCCCACUCCUCUCAUACAUCUUAUCUUUGCCUGUAUCAGGCUGCAGACAGCAGCCUAUAUCAGCUGUGAGGUUUAUUUAGUUGUUAAACCACCGCUUACUGUUUUAAGUACUUCAGCUUUUCUUUUGGAUCUGUCCACAUUCUUCUUUUAACACCAAGUAUACGUAUAAUUCAUCUUUCAGCCGUCGAUCCAAUGGGUUGACCAAAAGUAGAAUAAUGAAGUGAAGAACCAUUGACCCUGACAGACCUGCAUGGCCCUGCCUGUCCCUUUCUAGUGCAGACAGAGGAGGGUUUCUCAGCUCCCUCGGUGACUUCUGACCUUGCAUUCUGCCCACAUAGGGACCCUGUACAGUUCCUGCCAGAGUCCACCUACCAAAAAGUUCACCAUUUAAAGCCCACUGAUUCCUUGUAUAUAUUUUUUUCUUUGUUUUGCAUUUUGUUUUCAACUCAUUACAGACACAUUUACACUUAUGUAUGUGUGAAACAGGGUCAUUAUGAUAACAAUUUAAACAGUUUAUUAAACCGACCAAACAAAA